GACGAACGCUGGCGGCGGGCUUAACACAUGCAAGUCGAACGGAAAGGCCCUGCUUUUGUGGGGUGCUCGAGUGGCGAACGGGUGAGUAACACGUGAGUAACCUGCCCUUGACUUUGGGAUAACUUCAGGAAACUGGGGCUAAUACCGGAUAGGAGCUCCUGCUGCAUGGUGGGGGUUGGAAAGUUUCGGCGGUCGGGGAUGGACUCGCGGCUUACCAGCUUGUUGGUGGGGGAGUGGCUUACCAAGGCAUUGACGGGUAGCCGGCCUGAGAGGGUGACCGGCCUCAUUAGGACUGCGAUACGGCCCAGACUGCAACGGGAGGCAGCAGUGGCGAAUAUUGCACAGUGGGCGGGAGCCUGAUGCAGAAACGCCGCGUGCGGGAUGACGGCCUUCGGGGUGUGAACCGCUUUCGCCUGUGACGAAGCGUGAGUGACGGUAACGGAUAAAGAAGCACCGGCUAACUACGUG
rnacentral:rRNA from 1 species